rnacentral:tRNA from 1 species
GUCGGUAUCGAUUAGGGGUGAAAUCAUCUCGUUGUGGCCGAGAAGCCGCAGGUUCGAAUCCUGCUACUGACA